GAUGAACGCUGGCGGCGUGCCUAAUACAUGCAAGUCGAGCGGACGGAUGGGGCUUUUUCCCCACUUCCGCAGCGGACGGGCGGGUAAUUACCAGUAGGCUACCUGCCCGUUAGGCUUGGCUUACCUUAGGGAACCCUGAUCUAUCACCGGUCAUUAUGUUGAACCUAUGGGUUCAUUCGACAACACGGUAUCUGCUGAUCCUUUUCCGUUUUUCCUCGCCGGAUUAGCUAGUUGGUACGGUAACGGCUUACCAAGGCGACGAUGCGUAGCCGAACUGAGAGGGUGAUCGGCCACACUGGAACUGAGACACGGUCCAGACUCCUACGGGAGGCAGCAGUAGGGAAUAUUCCGCAAUGGGCGAAAGCCUGACGGAGCAAUGCCGCGUGAGUGAUGAAGGUCUUCGGAUCGUAAAACUCUGUUAGUAGGGAAGAACAAAUGUAGGAGUAACUCUGGAUGUCUUGACGGUACCAAAACAGAAAGCAACGGCUAACUACGUG
rnacentral:rRNA from 1 species